GUGGGGAAUCUUGCGCAAUGGGCGAAAGCCUGACGCAGCCAUGCCGCGUGAAUGAUGAAGGUCUUAGGAUUGUAAAAUUCUUUCACCGGGGACGAUAAUGACGGUACCCGGAGAAGAAGCCCCGGCUAACUUCUAGCCAGCAGCCGCGGUAAUACGAAGGGGGCUAGCGUUGCUCGGAAUUACUGGGCGUAAAGGGCGCGUAGGCGGACAGUUUAGUCAGAGGUGAAAGGCCAGGGCUCAACCUUGGAAUUGCCUUUGAUACUGGCUGUCUUGAGUACGGGAGAGGUGAGUGGAACUCCGAGUGUAGAGGUGAAAUUCGUAGAUAUUCGGAAGAACACCAGUGGCGAAGGCGACUCACUGGCCCGUUACUGACGCUGAGGCGCGAAAGCGUGGGGAGCAAACAGGAUUAGAUACCCUAGUAGUCC
rnacentral:rRNA from 1 species